rnacentral:rRNA from 1 species
AUUGAACGCUGGCGGCAGGCCUAACACAUGCAAGUCGAACGGUAACAGGAAGCAGCUUGCUGCUCUGCUGACGAGUGGCGGACGGGUGAGUAAUGUCUGGGAAACUGCCUGAUGGAGGGGGAUAACUACUGGAAACGGUAGCUAAUACCGCAUAACGUCGCAAGACCAAAGAGGGGGACCUUCGGGCCUCUUGCCAUCGGAUGUGCCCAGAUGGGAUUAGCUAGUAGGUGGGGUAACGGCUCACCUAGGCGACGAUCCCUAGCUGGUCUGAGAGGAUGACCAGCCACACUGGAACUGAGACACGGUCCAGACUCCUACGGGAGGCAGCAGUGGGGAAUAUUGCACAAUGGGCGCAAGCCUGAUGCAGCCAUGCCGCGUGUAUGAAGAAGGCCUUCGGGUUGUAAAGUACUUUCAGCGGGGAGGAAGGGAGUAAAGUUAAUACCUUUGCUCAUUGACGUUACCCGCAGAAGAAGCACCGGCUAACUCCGUG